GGCCUAUUAGCUCAGUUGGUUAGAGCGUAGUGCUAAUAAUGCGAAGGUAGCAGGUUCAAACCUGCAUGGGCCA
rnacentral:tRNA from 1 species